rnacentral:lncRNA from 1 species
GCAAUUUCCUUAAACACCCCUUAUAGACCAGCUUCGUGAAUGAGGCCUACUAACGGUAAGACUGACUUUUACUCAUACAUAUAUAUAAUGUUAGACUUUUAAUGUUAUAUAUAGUAUAGGGUGUAUUUUACACUUUUAAAAUACUAGGUGGUCUAAUUUAACAAUUAUACUUUUAAUUCAAUUAAAUUGUAAACCUAAACUUUUAUGGAUUUAUUAAACCUCUUUUAAUUAUACACCUUAAUUAAUUAAUAAAACCAUAAGGGUGUGAUUUGAACCUUUUCAAAACAAUACUAGAGUUUUAGAAUUUAACAUUCCUAAUUAAACUUUUAAUCAACUUUUAAAUUCCAAAACUUGAGGGCAAGUUUUGAAACAUUUCAAAACAUUAGGGUUUAGAAUUUAAAUAUACAUCAAAAUUAAACUAUUAAUCAAAAUUUAAAUUCCAAAACUUGAGGGCAAGUUUUGAAACCUUUUUCAAAACAUUAGGGUUUUAACUAUUUAAAUUUCAAAAC